rnacentral:rRNA from 1 species
AUUGAACGCUGGCGGAAUGCUUUACACAUGCAAGUCGAGCGGCAGCGCGGGGCAACCUGGCGGCGAGCGGCGAACGGGUGAGUAAUGUAUCGGAACGUAUCCUUAAGUGGGGGACAACUAGUCGAAAGACUAGCUAAUACCGCAUACGAUCGAGAGAUGAAAGUGGGGGACCGCAAGGCCUCACGCUUUUGGAGCGGCCGAUAUCCGAUUAGCUUGUUGGUGAGGUAAAGGCUUACCAAGGCUAUGAUCGGUAGCUGGUCUGAGAGGAUGAUCAGCCACACUGGGACUGAGACACGGCCCAGACUCCUACGGGAGGCAGCAGUGGGGAAUUUUGGACAAUGGGGGCAACCCUGAUCCAGCCAUUCCGCGUGAGUGAAGAAGGCCUUCGGUUGUAAAGCUCUUUUGUCGGGGUACGAAACGGUUUCGACCUAAUACGUGAGACUACUGACGGUACCGAACGAAUAAGACACCGGCUAACUAACGUGCCAGCAGCCGCGGUAAACGUCUACG